UCCCAUACCCCGUAUAGUAUGAGCACCAAAUGACCAAGUCUCCAUACUCCAUCCGGUAUGAGACAACGUUCAUGGUAGGGUUCUCUAUGAAUCCGGUCCGUCCACCAUCUCCCAGGAUAUUUAGUGAGGCUGUCAUCUUAUCUGUUUAUUAGAUCACACCCCUUUCAUGUUUUUCCUUAGUCUCUGUUACCAAAUCAAACAUAAUCACAUAAACAAAUAAACAUGCAUCCGCU
rnacentral:lncRNA from 1 species